rnacentral:rRNA from 1 species
AUUGAACGCUGGCGGCAGGCCUAACACAUGCAAGUCGAGCGGAUGAAGGGAGCUUGCUCCUGGAUUCAGCGGCGGACGGGUGAGUAAUGCCUAGGAAUCUGCCUAGUAGUGGGGGAUAACGUCCGGAAACGGGCGCUAAUACCGCAUACGUCCUGAGGGAGAAAGUGGGGGAUCUUCGGACCUCACGCUAUCAGAUGAGCCUAGGUCGGAUUAGCUAGUUGGUGGGGUAAAGGCCUACCAAGGCGACGAUCCGUAACUGGUCUGAGAGGAUGAUCAGUCACACUGGAACUGAGACACGGUCCAGACUCCGACGGGAGGCAGCAGUGGGGAAUAUUGGACAAGGGGCGAAAGCCUGAUCCAGCCAUGCCGCGUGUGUGAAGAAGGUCUUCGGAUUGUAAAGCACUUUAAGUUGGGAGGAAGGGCAGUAAGUUAAUACCUUGCUGUUUUGACGUUACCAACAGAAUAAGCACCGGCUAACUUCGUG